rnacentral:rRNA from 1 species
GUGCCAGCCGCAGCGGUAAUACAGAGGGUGCGAGCGUUAAUCGGAUUUACUGGGCGUAAAGCGUGCGUAGGCGGCUUAUUAAGUCGGAUGUGAAAUCCCCGAGCUUAACUUGGGAAUUGCAUUCGAUACUGGUGAGCUAGAGUAUGGGAGAGGAUGGUAGAAUUCCAGGUGUAGCGGUGAAAUGCGUAGAGAUCUGGAGGAAUACCGAUGGCGAAGGCAGCCAUCUGGCCUAAUACUGACGCUGAGGUACGAAAGCAUGGGGAGCAAACAGGAUUAGAUACCCUGGUAGUCCAUGCCGUAAACGAUGUCUACUAGCCGUUGGGGCCUUUGAGGCUUUAGUGGCGCAGCUAACGCGAUAAGUAGACCGCCUGGGGAGUACGGUCGCAAGACUAAACUCAAAUGAAUUGACGGGGGCCCGCACAAGCGGUGGAGCAUGUGGUUUAAUUCGAUGCAACGCGAAGAACCUUACCUGGCCUUGACAUACUAGAAACUUUCCAGAGAUGGAUUGGUGCCUUACGGG